CAUGGUCUAAUAAAGCCUUGUUGCUCGCCAGAGUUUCCUCUCUGUACCUUGGGGAUACCCCUUGCUUGGGUAGAGAGGAGGGAAAUUACUUUCCUUCUUACCUCUCCAUUCUUCUUGUGCACAGGCUUUGAAGGAAUGAGAGAGAAGUGGGCCACUGCAUUCUCAUUCCUGUAAGGCUCUGUGCCAGGACUCGCCCCAUCUGUAUAUUUUGAGCCUUUUAUUAUUAACCAAAGUGAUCUUGAUUGAUAACAAUACAAAGGCAAAGCUGGGAGUGCUCUGAUUUCUAGCUUCAGCUCCUUAUUCAUUGAUUCAUUAUUCAUUAUUGAUUAAUACAUAAUAAUUCUUUAUUUUAUUUGCCUUAUCAGUUCCUCACUCCUGGAAGGUUGGAGAAGGGAAGGGUGCUGCACAAAUUUCUUCUUGGAAUUUUAAAUUUUACUUUUAAAUUAUGGAUCCUUAAUGACUCUUUUUCUAAUAACUCCUGAAUUCUUGUGAUUCAACAGAGGGUAUUAAUUACAAAUGUGUUUCUUUCUCCUUUUUUUGGCGGGGGUGGAGUCUUUAUUUCUUUAUAGAUUGCUUUAUAGAUUAUACAAGCCAGGCAGUAAUUUAUCUUCAAGGUUAAACAUUCAGAUAAUUCUGAAGUUCAGAGAAAAAGGUGAUAUCCCCUUUCCUCCCCGGAUAGUUGAAACCUGAAUGGUUUAGAUGGCUCCUUCCUGGGCACUUCUGCACGUGAACGGAGAGUAAGCCUUUUCUCACAGGUUGCCGCAUCAGUGGAAAAGUCCCAUACCUAUUAAUAGGUUCAAUGGCAUUUCCCAGCACCUGUUGUGUGUCAGGUGUAAAGCUGGGAGCUGCAGAUUGAAUAACGAACAAAAAUGGGAGGCCGAGGCAGGCGGAUCAUGAGGUCAGGAGAUGGAGACCAUCCUGGCUAACAUGGUGAAACCCCGUCUCUACUAAAAAUACAAAAAAUUAGCUGGGCGAGGUGGCGGGCACCUAUAGUCCCAGCUACUCGGGAGGCUGAGGCAGGAGAAUGGCAUGAACCUGGGGGGAGGAGCCUGCAGUGAGCUGAGAUCGCACCACUGCACUCCAGCCUGGGUGACAGCGAGACUCCGUCUCAAAAAAAAAGAAAAAAAGAAAAAAUGGUCCCCUCCUUCCACAGCUCACAGGCUCCAGGCAUAUGAUGCUGGAACUUAGUUUUUCCUUCCCAUUUCACAAUAUAUCUAGGAUUUCUCCCCAUGUCUGUCUGCCCUGUACUCUUUAAUGUCCAGAGGCAACAUUGAAUUUUGAUGGACCUCAAAUUGACUUCUGAUUGAUUUGCCAUUAUUAAAAAGCAAAGCAGCAGAAGUCUUGGUUUACAUCUCUUUGAGAACCUGAGUGUUUGAUAAGAUUUAAAGAUUUUUUUGAUGGCAGGACACACAGUACCCUGAUAGGACAGGACACUAUUACUUACAGCUGCAAAUGGGAGCUGGCUGCCAGGCAGGGCCAUG
rnacentral:lncRNA from 1 species